CCUUGAACAAAAUCGGGGUUGGUAGUAAGCAAAAAGGAGAGAGCAGGUUUGGGACACCGACAGUGAGUCCACUUGCUGAGAGUCUCACAGCUGGUGGGUCCGUACCAAGCAGCUCUGGCAGGUUGAGGAGGGCACCACAGGGUUCUCAGUGGUCUGGACCGCACCCCAGGAUUUGGUGACGCCGGCGCUAAGCCUGACUGGACUCCACCUGCCAGCGCCCUGUUCCAGUGACAACACAGUCUUCCAAAUAGCCUCGAGCACCCACGCUCAGGGGGUAAUUACAAGCCUCUUGUCAUUGCCGUUCAACCGAAAGUAACAGAAGCAGAGGAGAGCAUUUGUUUUAAAGAUAAGGGUGUCACUUGGAACCAAAGGGCUGGAACCGGCAUCUGGGAAUUGAACGCCUUUAAAACCCCUGUCCCUGUCCCUGUCCACAUCCCUGUCUCUGUCCCUGUCCCUGUCCCUGUCCCUGUCCCUGUCCCUGUCCCUGUCCCUGUCCCUGUCCCUGUCCCUGUCCCUGUCCCUGUCCCUGUCCCUGUCCCUGUCCCUGUCUCUGUCCCUGUCUCUGUCUCUGUCCCUGUUUCUGUCCCUGUCCUUGCCUCUGUCCUUGUCCCCAUUUCUGUCUCUGUCCCUGUCUCUCUCCAUUUUCUCAUUUUGCCCUUCAUUUGUUGCGUUUUCCCCCCUCUUCUUCCCAGCUCAAAAUUCUCAGAGAAAGAUUCUGGUUGCCUGUCGUGGUUCAGAUGGUCAUUCCUGGACCAACUUAUUGUGGCCAGAGGAAGAGAUUAUGUGUUGUGUUUUAUAUAUAUAUGUACAUAUAUAUUAUUUAGUACCCACACAUGUAGAAGUCUGCAAAAUCAGAUAAUAAAAAGUGAUCUUUGUCAUACUGCAGUGCAACCACAAUGUGUAUGGUUUUACCUGAUCGUAUUUUACAAUUUUUAAAACUUUCUCCAGUGGUAGGGGUCCUAGGGAGCUCACCUCAUUCCUCCAUAGGUGGGGCCGGUAAAGCAGGACCCCGCAUUUCCUACACAAUUGUUUUCUGAAUGAGAGUUUG
rnacentral:lncRNA from 1 species